rnacentral:rRNA from 1 species
UACGUAGGGUGCAAGCGUUGUCCGGAAUUAUUGGGCGUAAAGAGCUCGUAGGCGGUUUGUUGCGUCGGCUGUGAAAUCCCGAGGCUCAACCUCGGGUCUGCAGUCGAUACGAGCAAACUAGAGUGUUGCAGGGGAGACUGGAAUUCCUGGUGUAGCGGUGAAAUGCGCAGAUAUCAGGAGGAACACCAAUGGCGAAGGCAGCUCGCUGGGACGUGACUGACGCUGAGGUGCGAAAGCGUGGGGAGCAAACAGG